rnacentral:rRNA from 1 species
GGGUUGUGAGGUUAAGCGACUAAGCGUACACGGUGGAUGCCCUGGCAGUCAGAGGCGAUGAAGGGCGUGCUAAUCUGCGAUAAGCGCCGGUAAGGUGAUAUGAACCGUUAUAACCGGCGAUACCCGAAUGGGGAAACCCAGUGUGACUCGUCACACUAUCAUUAACUGAAUCCAUAGGUUAAUGAGGCGAACCGGGGGAACUGAAACAUCUAAGUACCCCGAGGAAAAGAAAUCAACCGAGAUUCCCCCAGUAGCGGCGAGCGAACGGGGAGGAGCCCAGAGCCUGAAUCAGCAUGUGUGUUAGUGGAAGCGUCUGGAAAGGCGCGCGAUACAGGGUGACAGCCCCGUACACAAAAGCGCAUGUGCUGUGAGCUCGAUGAGUAGGGCGGGACACGUGGUAUCCUGUCUGAAUAUGGGGGGACCAUCCUCCAAGGCUAAAUACUCCUGACUGACCGAUAGUGAACCAGUACCGUGAGGGAAAGGCGAAAAGAACCCCGGCGAGGGGAGUGAAAAAGAACCUGAAACCGUGUACGUACAAGCAGUGGGAGCACCCUUUGGGUGUGACUGCGUACCUUUUGUAUAAUGGGUCAGCGACUUAUAUUCUGUAGCAAGGUUAACCGA